rnacentral:lncRNA from 1 species
ACUAGUUCGAAUAUUGCCAGAUAUAUACCAAAAGCUUGACAUGUACCAGUUCUAAUUUAUAUAGUUUAAGUACUUAAGAUUCUUUUUUUUUUUAAUUUCUAGUUUUUAUUUGUCACUUUGGAUCGCUUACUAACAUUUAAGAAUAAUACUAUAAGAACUAUAGUAAUGUGUGACACAUUGGCACGUAUCCAUCUCUUAUUAAUUGAGUCAUUACAUAUACUUACUAAACACACACACACAUACACACAUACACACACACAUAUGAAAGAUGUCGAUCGAACAUAUUAUAAGUUAUAAUAAGUAACUAACUA